ensembl:lncRNA
UCAAAAUGCAAAGUACUGCUGCUCUGAUCACUUUACAAGGAGGCUCUGGCUGUCCACCUCGGUCGGGCAGGAGAGACGCCGCGUCCCUCCUUCCUCAGACCACGUGCACUCACGUUGCCACGGACGACGACUCGAAACCCGCCAGGAAACCAGCACAUGAGGAGGAAACCGAGGCGGGUGGUGGCUGAUGGGACCCGUCCUCGUCUCCAUGGAGAUGUCGCCACGCGCAAACAGAAGGGGAGCUGCCGGCGGACUCGAAAAACAACUUCUGAGAAGGAACCCAGUGUGACAGCUUGGACCCGCGUUCUACAGCCACACACUUCUGCCUAAUAAUAAAGCCUCUCCAGUGUCAGAGAGGAUGAAAUCUUCACAACGCCCCCUCACUAUGAAGCUGUGCAAACAAAGCACUGGCUUGCCAGAAGCCAGGCGGAAAAAAACCCCCAUUAAUUCAACUUUUUCAAAUUUGAGCCUUGAUAUGCACACGCAAGGGAUGAUUAAUCAAUAUUUAGAAAUGUGGCAUGAAUAAGGAAAACAAGCUUAAUUAUUAGUCACCCAAAAUAAUUUCUUUGAAGUUUGUCUUCUCCAUGAUUGUUGUAAUUUAACAACCUAAAUUCCAGGUAAAUAAAAUGCAGCUUGGUUAAUGUUCUCCACAGAUCCCUUUCUAACCACGUACCCACCUUCACGCAACACCCACAUCAGCUCGUCCACGAUCUGACCCGUCUGUCUGUCCUAAAUCCCGUCCACCACAAAGACGAGGAGACACCUUCCAUACCACCGAUGCAGCGGACACGUGAAACGCGGAGGAGGAGCAAAGAGCGCGAAAACACUGGCGAGUGCAUCUACCAGCAGUCAACAGCGGUUACUGCAGACGUGACGCCGGUUCCACCAAACCUCACCUGACAACACGGCGUUCAGGCGGGAGAACGCGGCGUUUUCAGCCCUCAGAGUUCUCCCAUGAGCCCCGGGGGGGGGAGGGGGCAGAACGUCGUUACGGCCUGAGCAGAAACUCCGGCGCCGACAGCUGACAGACCGGCCGGAGCAGCAGAGCAGGACGUGUCUCCGGGUACAGCGAGAGGUACUCGACCCUCCCAGGGCGCGUUACUGCAGCGCACAAUAAGUCCGCUCAUGUCUCACCUGUCGCCUCGUAAUGAGCGUGGGAGGAAAGCUCCAGACCUUCUUCUCUAGAGGGUCGAGAUGUGACGGAUGGGAGCGUCCAGCCUCUCACAGCGUUGUGCUGAACCAGACGUGACUGGGAUCUUAAGCGUUACUUCUCUGGACUCAGUUGUGAUGGCUGCGUGUUAGAUGUGACAAUUACAAGCAGAACUUUAUAUGAAAUAGAUGAACUGUGGGUUAAAACAGUGAAACUAGGCGCUGGUCUGAGGACCAGGCCUCGUCUGUCAUCCACCCGAGCAGGUGGGAGGGAUGUCGGAACAGCACAGUAUCACUGAUCCAGGUUCUUAUGAACAAAAAAAUGAUUGAUCGCAAGACUGUGCAAAAGUUUAAUUAAAGAACAAUGUCACAUUCUGACUAAUGGCCUGUCUGAUGAAACCAUCUGCUUCGUGUCUAUUCAUUAACUUAGUUUAUUCAUAAUAACAAGCGUAUUCAAUUUUUUGUGGUCUUUUAUAUACUUUUUGUUCUAGUUUUGACACGUUCCGUUCUGUCGUCUUAUCUUAUUCAUUCCUUUUGAGGUUUGAAUCUUUAAUAAAAAAGGUCUCAUCUUCUCUGUCC